rnacentral:rRNA from 1 species
GAGCGAACGCUGGCGGCAGGCCUAACACAUGCAAGUCGAACGAACCUUCGGGUUAGUGGCGGACGGGUGAGUAACACGUGGGAACGUGCCCUUUGGUACGGAAUAACUCAGGGAAACUUGAGCUAAUACCGUAUGUGCCCUUCGGGGGAAAGAUUUAUCGCCAUUGGAGCGGCCCGCGUUGGAUUAGGUAGUUGGUGAGGUAAAGGCUCACCAAGCCUACGAUCCAUAGCUGGUCUGAGAGGAUGAUCAGCCACAUUGGGACUGAGACACGGCCCAAACUCCUACGGGAGGCAGCAGUGGGGAAUCUUGCGCAAUGGGCGAAAGCCUGACGCAGCCAUGCCGCGUGAAUGAUGAAGGUCUUAGGAUUGUAAAAUUCUUUCACCGGGGACGAUAAUGACGGUACCCGGAGAAGAAGCCCCGGCUAACUUCGUGCCAGCAGCCGCGGUAAUACGAAGGGGGCUAGCGUUGCUCGGAAUUACUGGGCGUAAAGGGCGCGUAGGCGGACAGUUAAGUCAGAGGUGAAAGCCCAGGGCUCAACCUUGGAAUUGCCUUUGAUACUGGCUGUCUUGAGUGUGGGAGAGGUGAGUGGAACUCCGAGUGUAGAGGUGAAAUUCGUAGAUAUUCGGAAGAACACCAGUGGCGAAGGCGACUCACUGGCCCAUUACUGACGCUGAGGCGCGAAAGCGUGGGGAGCAAACAGGAUUAGAUACCCUGGUAGUCCACGCUGUAAACGAUGAGUGCUAGUUGUCGG